rnacentral:rRNA from 1 species
UCAGUCGACUCCUACGGGGAGGCAGCAGUGAGGAAUAUUGGGCAAUGGAGGCAACUCUGACCCAGCCAUGCCGCGUGCAGGAAGACGGCCCUAUGGGUUGUAAACUGCUUUGUACGAGAAGAAACGCCAGUUCGUGAACUGGUUUGACGGUAUCGUAAGAAUAAGCAUCGGCUAACUCCGUGCCAGCAGCCGCGGUAAUACGGAGGAUGCGAGCGUUAUCCGGAAUCAUUGGGUUUAAAGGGUCCGUAGGCGGGCUUAUAAGUCAGUGGUGAAAUCUCCCAGCUCAACUGGGAAAACUGCCAUUGAUACUGUAGGUCUUGAAUAUUUGUGAAGUAACUAGAAUAUGUAGUGUAGCGGUGAAAAUGCUUAGAUAUUACAUGGAAUACCAAUUGCGAAGGCAGGUUACUAACAAAUUAUUGACGCUGAUGGACGAAAGCGUGGGGAGCGAACAGGAUUAGAUACCCUGGUAG